rnacentral:rRNA from 1 species
UUUAAAGAUUUAAUAAAAUUCAAAAAUAAAUUAAUAAAUUAUUAUAAAAUUAUGGUCCUUUCGUACUAAAAAUUUUAAUUUAUUUUAAGGAUAGAAACCAACCUGGCUUACACCGGUUUGAACUCAGAUCAUGUAAAAUUUUAAAGGUCGAACAGACCUAAAAUUUAAGCUUCUUCACCUAAACUAUAUUUUAAUCCAACAUCGAGGUCGCAAUCUUUUUUAUCAAUAAGAACUCUAAAAAAAAUUACGCUGUUAUCCCUAAGGUAAUUUAAUCUAAUAAUCCAAAAAUUAAGAUCAAAAAUUCAUAAAUCAAUGAAAUUUAAAUUUAAAAAAGUUUAUUAAAUUUUCUUAUCGCCCCAAUAAAAUAAUCUAUUAGAAAAUUAUUUUAAUUAAAAUAAUUUUCUAAUAGAUUAUAAAAUUCUAUAGGGUCUUCUCGUCCUUUAAAAAAAUUUAAGCUUUUUAACUUAAAAAUUAAUUUCAAAAAAUUAAUUAAAGACAGUUUAUAUUUCAUUCAAUCAUUCAUUCUAGCCUCCAAUUAAAAGACUAAUUAUUAUGCUACCUUUGCACAGUCAAAAUACUGCGGCCAUUUAAUUAUUUUCAUAGAGCAGAUUAGACUUUAUAUUAAAUUCAAAAAGACAUGUUUUUGAUAAACAGGUGAAUAUAAAAUUUGCCGAAUUCCUUUAACUAAAUUAAUUUAAAUUAUUUAUUAAAUUAAUACAAAAUAAAAUUUACUAAUUUUAUCAUUAUUUUAGAUAAUUAUUAAUUAAUUAAAUUAUUUUAAUAAAUUAUUAAAUUUUAUAAAAAAUUUUAAAUACAAAAUUAAUUAAAUUAUAACAUUUUUUAAAUAAAAACUAUUUCUAAGUCUAUAUAAAUAUUUAUACAAUUUUUUAAAAUUAUAAAAAUAAAUUUUAAAGCUUAUCCCAUAAAAUAUUAAUAUUAAUUUUAAUUUUAUUAUUUAAUUUUUAUAAAAAUAUAAUUAUAAAUUAAUAUCUGAAUUAAAUUCAUUUAUUAAAAAACUAGAUAUAUUAAAAAUCGAUUAACGUCUCAUUACUAUUUUUUUAUUUAACAUAUUUUUACCACAAUAAAAAUCAUAAUUACAAAAUAAAUCUUUUUAAUUCGAGAAAAAUAUUUAUAAAUAUUUUAUUUUUAAAAAACCCUGAUACACAAGGUACAAUAAAUUAAAUUUACUUUUAAAAAAAUAUAAAAAAUAUUUCAAAAUUCUUUUACAAUACUAAUUUAAUUUAAUUAAAAAAAUUUUAUCUAAAAAUACAAAAACAUUUAAAUAAUAAAAAUAUUUUUAUUAAUUAUUAUAAAUAAUAAUAAUAAUAAUAAUCAUUAAU